rnacentral:rRNA from 1 species
UACAGAGGUCCCGAGCGUUGUUCGGAUUCACUGGGCGUAAAGGGUGCGUAGGUGGUGAGGUAAGUCGGAUGUGAAAUCUCCGGGCUCAACCCGGGAAUGGCAUUGGAAACUACCUUGCUGGAGGAUUUGAGGGGGGAUUGGAAUACUUGGUGUAGCAGUGAAAUGCGUAGAUAUCAAGUGGAACACCAGUGGCGAAGGCGAAUCCCUGGAAAAUACCUGACACUGAGGCACGAAAGCUAGGGGAGCAAACAGG